AUGAAGUUUCUUGCAGAAUUUGCAGGACCGGCCAGAGUUGGGGAAGUUGCAGAGCUGCCGCUGAAGGUACAUUUCGGUGACGCAAGAGAAAGAACUCGAACACAGUCCUCGGUGGGGCAGACCCAAGGCAAGCCCGCAGACUGCAGAGGUGUCGCGCCAGUCGUGCUGAGCUUUGUACGGGGGAAGGUGCAGCAGGCUGAGCCUGGCGCGGUGUUGGACACAGUGGACCGGCGCGGACGCAGGACUCGGAGCUGCCCCAGCCGGACCUGCCCGCCGUCGGCUCGGGUCGCGCCGGCUGUGCAGAGUGCAGUGGGCCGGGUGAGGUCGCCGGCCCAACACCGCCCUCCGCGCCUGCUGCGCUGGGAUUUCGUUGAGAAAAUCGAGCAGACGCGGAGGAAGGGGUCAGGAAGGAUAUGAAACGGGAACCCUUGCGAAUUCCGGCCAGCGCUAGAAUGGUGCAGAUCAGUGCAUCUGUGGCGCAUCCUUCUAAAAAUCGACUGGGGUAAACAAGAUCAAUACAUUUUUUUAAAAGGUCUAAAGCAAAAGGCGCAUUACCUCCUCACUCACCUGUUCUGCUUUCCUUGCCUCCCUCCACUGAGAUCUGAAACUUUUCCUUAAUUGUUUUUAUUCACUGCAGCAAGUUUUAAUGAAAGCAUAUGCAUCUGAAGCUUGAGUCACAACCAUAGAUUUAUUGUGAGGUGACAGCAUGUCAACAGCAUAUUUUCACAGAUGAGGGACAGGAUUAUCCUCCAGUCGUGCCUAGAUUAAGGGCAACCACAGAAAUGGAAAUGCGUGCCCGAGGUGCGGACACCGGCUCCUGCAUGUGAGACACAUACACUCACUGUCACAUGACCACUGCCUAUUAAAAUUUGUAAUACCUAAAUACUAUUGCAAAAACAAAAGUUGCUUUUCUUCUCUGUAAUUAAAUCUAAUUUGUUAAUUGUCUUCCUCUUGCAAUGUUGUUUUCAUCUUAUGAGGCGACAUGUUAUUAUUUUGUCUGCUUAAUAAUAUUAUUUACAAAUUAAUACUGUAGAUUACAUUAGCGGAACAUAUAAUUAGAUGUUUGAUUUAAUUUGUAUCAUUUAUUCAGAUAAAACAGAAAGCCUAUCUGCAGGAUGGAUUUGACAAGGGGAGUUGAAGAGUGGGUUCUGUUCUAAUACCUCAGCUUAGUGAAGCUACCUGGCUCUCCAUCCACAAAGCACACUUUUACCUGAGGUGCAUUUGGUACUUUAUCAUGUGCUUAUUUACCUAGCCAUUUAAUACAGAAAAAGUAUUCAAGUAUUACAGCUCUAUUUUCUGUCUCCUUUCAGGCUUUCCCCCUCAAAUCAAAGUUCUUGCCACUGGCUUUCACUCCCUUCUCUCUGGUUCCUCCUCCACCCCCAACUUUUGUUUUGGGUCCUUGCCAUUAAAUCCGGCAUGAUUUUGUGUCUUUAAUGCUGUGACAAGUGACCGCUAAUUGGUUCUCACUUGAGCAAAGAUAUUACCAUACUAAUAUUAUUAUUGGUAAGAAGAGGUAAUUGAUAACACCACCUGCCACUCUGGGGCAGUCACAAUGAUAAAUGUUUCCAUCAACAGGAAAUCUGUGCUUGGUGUACCACAGCCCAAUGCAAACAGCAUGUCAAGUGCCAAUUAUAAAGAUGUUGCUUUUCUGUUACAUUGUGGGGGCGCUAGGAAACAUGGAGCCCCAAAUUAUAUUUAUGGCUUUUUGAAAAUGCUUUUCCAAGCUUCUUGCUCACCCACUUGAAGAUAACUUUCCCCUUUAAAAAACAAAAAAUGUUCUCCUUAAAUAAACCAAUACACAACUAACUGCCCCGCCCA
rnacentral:lncRNA from 1 species